UACAGAGGGUGCAAGCGUUAAUCGGAAUUACUGGGCGUAAAGCGUGCGUAGACGGUUACAUAAGUCGGGUGUGAAAGCCCCGGGCUCAACCUGGGAAUUGCAUUCGAGACUGCGUAGCUAGGGUGCGGAAGAGGGAAGCGGAAUUUCCGGUGUAGCGGUGAAAUGCGUAGAUAUCGGAAGGAACACCAGUGGCGAAAGCGGCUUCCUGGUCCAGCACCGACGUUCAGGCACGAAAGCGUGGGGAG
rnacentral:rRNA from 3 species